GACUGGAUCAGAUGAUGCAAGAAGCCCAUUGAACCGUGCAUGCAUUCUAAAAGACAAAAUGGAAGACGUCGAGAAAUCUCUGUACUUUUUCUCAAGAAAAUUCAAGUUUUAUUGCAGUAAUGAAGACACAAACUACCACAAAAGCGUGAAGGAAGGCUUGCCACCCGCUAAGGAUGUUUUCCCAUCAACAAGAUUAGACAUCUUAGAUCUCCAAAGACCUCUCAUCACCCAAGCAUCUUCUCGUAAUACUUGAAUCAUCAAGGAUAAUACAAAAGAAAGAUGCAACUCGAUCAACAAGUAGACAUCUUAGCUCUCCAAGGGCAUCUCAUCAGCUAAGCAUCUUCUUGUGAUACUUGGAUGUUCCAGGCUUAUACAACAGGCUUAUACAAAGGUAUUUUGGUCUUAAAGGAAAUCUACCCAUCAACAUGUAGAUGUCUGAGACUCCAAACCAUCAUGCUGUCUGGCACACAACCUGCCUUUCUUUCAAGCAGAAAGUCUUGAAACUUGCCGAUGUCUUCCCGCCAACAAGUACACAUCUAAGAUCUCCAAGGACCUUUCAAUCAGCCAGACUUUUCUUGUAACACUUGAAUGUUCAAGUCUGAUACAAAGAUGUCUUCCAAUCAAGUACACAUCUGAGAUCUCCAAGGAGCUUUCCAUCAGCCAGAUACUUCUUGUGGCACUUCAAGCCUCAUACAAAAGUAUGUAAAUGUGUGCCAUCUUCAGAUAAUAUGUACCAACUUACAAGAUACUUUCCUGAGACGAGCGUGUGUCUAUCAUCAGGCCAAUGUCUACCCAUCACCAAUGUAAACAAGAGAGGUUUUCAACAGGUUUGUAAAUGAUUGGGCAACAAUACAUUUUGACACUACCCCGUCAGUAUAGUGGGCUGUUUUUGCAGCACUGUACCUCAAAGACAUGCCAUAACACUCUGAGGACUUCAUGCUGGCAUCAGCCUAACUCAGAUGAAUGGUGGUCCCUACAGAUCAAUUACAGAUUAACAAAAUGUAAACAUGUUUUAUUAACAUUACCCCUUGUAAUUAUAAUCUUAACACAUUAAUGAUCUUGCCAAAAACAAAAAAACUUGCCCAAAAAACACUGCUAUUCCACUUAUGACCACUUCAAUCCACUUCAAUUCUCCUAGUUAAUUGUUAUGGUGUGGAUUGUAUUGUAAACGUAAAAUUAUAUUUAAAUUCUAUUGUUAUACCAAACAUUAUCAAUUGUAUUUUAAUUAACUGUCUUGAAGAGUAUUCUUUCACCUGAAGAAGAUCUUUUUCCAUUUAAAGGCACUGGACACUAUUGGUUAUUAGUCAAAGUAAUUUUAGCAUAACAAGUACUUGGUAAGGAGCAAUUGAGAGCUGUUAAAACAAUUGCGAGAAAAGGCUCCCUCUGGAAUAUCAUACUUUUGGAGAAACGGGUAAUUUCUAACUCAAAUAUCAAAAGACUUCAGGUCUGAUGCCUUUAAUAUGCAUCUGAAAGCACACAAGUUUGUGCGACAACCGUGUUUUUUCUUUCAUAUUUCUCUUGCAACUUCCAUGACCAAUUGAGCAAAAACUUACACACUAGAUUGGUUAUUUACGCAAGUGGUGGGAUACACCAAGUGAGUGCACCGAAUGUGUCAAGUGCCUUUAAAGGAGAAAUCACCCCAUCAAUUCAUUUUUUUACAUUGGUAGACAAAAAACAUUAAAGGCAGUGGACACUAUUGGUAAUUACUAAAAAUAAUUAUUAGCACAAAACCUU